rnacentral:lncRNA from 1 species
AUUUAAUUCUAUGUAAGACAUGAAUAGCUCCUGCAAUUAUCAGGAUGACAAAAUCUAUACCAGCUAGAGUGAUACCUACAGAAAAUCCCCUUUUGUGUACCUCCUCAUGAGAUCUUUUUUUUUUUUUUCCAGAGUUGGGACCUUCGUUGGAUUUAAAUCUUGUGCCUUGCCACCUCCAAUGCUAAUGCUCCAGCCAUGCACGUUAUGUGAUGCUGUUAUUAAGCCAGUUGAAGCAGAGAAGCCUCUGUACAUGUACUCAUCUAGCACCAAUGAGAGAUCAAUAGGAAAUGAUAUUAAAGGACGACGAGGCUUUGGUACGCCUAGAGGAGAUUUGGAAACCUUAAUCAACAUCUCCUGGCUGCUAUAAUCAACCCAAGCUCGAAUCGGGUCUCCACUUCUCAGAAGAAUAGGAAUUCUGUGGUUAUUGCCAGAAUAGUAAGAAGCUGGCUCUGAUGCACUGGGGAUGAGGCUUGAUAUUAAUAUUACUCUCAAUAUUACUAGUCACUGGUUAUGUCUCUUAAAAUUUUGA